AAAAAUAAAAAAUAGUCUGGCAUCCACAUAAACAAAACAGGUCAAAACCCAGUUUCAAAAGUACAAAAACCAGUUUCAAAAGUAUCCAACACGACCAAUGUAUAAUUAUUGAAGAAUUGAGAGGGAAAAGUUACCUUGCACAAGAGUAUUGGUUGCUUCAGGACCAGAUUCUCCCUCGUUGUGAAUUUCCUAAACGGACUCUGUCAACCAUAAAUGAGCUAAUGAGUUAAACAAAUAAAACAAGUAAAAAGGUAUAAAUGAAUUAGCUAAAACAGAAAACAUCUAAAAUACACAUUACCAUCUUCAAUUUGAAAAACAAGUUUUGAACGUCUUGUUUCCCAAUCAUUGAGUUCCUUACGGCAGAUUAUUCUAUAAUCAGUUGUUUUAUUACUUUUCCUAUCCUUGUGGUAAGGAACAAAAAUAUCACUCCGAGGGAUAACCUGAUCCUCCGCCUUCCCGAACUUGAAGGGACAAAGAUCAGGCCUUUGAAAGGCGAUUCUUUCAUAAUAAAUCAUAGUUGUGCAUGAAAAUGCACAAUAUGUUUGCUGAGCAAGAUUAUGAGGCAAGAAACUUGCCUUAAGCCUAUUGAAAGGCCUCCACUCGAUCUAACAGAAAAAAAAAAGAUAGAAUGUUAAUUAAAAUCCAAAUAGCUUAAUGAACAUUCAAAAGAGUGCAAUAAAGGUAGACAUUCAAAAAGGAUUAUGAUAUUGUGAUGGUGAUUAAUAUAUUAUUUGGCAUUUGACCCAAAAAAGAAAACUUACCGGGAGCUCGAGGAGUUUAGCCCGACAAAUCUCCAUUUUAUUAGGAUUGUGUUUAUUCUUGGAAGAAACUACCAGCAUGUUGCUCCACCCCACCAUGAAAGGAAAUCCUC
rnacentral:lncRNA from 1 species